CCUACGGGAGGCAGCAGUGGGGGAUAUUGCACAAUGGGGGAAACCCUGAUGCAGCGACGCCGCGUGUGGGAAGACGGUCCUCUGGAUUGUAAACCACUGUCCCCAGGGACGAAGAUGACGGUACCUGGGGAGGAAGCUCCGGCAAACUACGUGCCAGCAGCCGCGGUAAUACGUAGGGAGCGAGCGUUGUCCGGAAUUACUGGGGGAAAAGGGAGCGUAGGCGGGACUGCAAGUUGGGUGUCAAAUCUACCGGCUCAACCGGUAGCCGCACUUAAAACUGCAGUUCUUGAGUGAAGUAGAGGCAGGCGGAAUUCCUAGUGUAGCGGUGAAAUGCGUAGAUAUUAGGAGGAACACCAGUGGCGAAGGCGGCCUGCUGGGCUUUUACUGACGCUGAGGCUCGAAAGUGUGGGGAGCAAACAGGAUUAGAUACCCGGGUAGUC
rnacentral:rRNA from 1 species